ensembl:lncRNA
CUGGGCGCGGAAGCAUGGGGCGGCAGCGUGUCCCCGCCCGUCCCGCUCCGCCCGCAGCCGGCGAGGCUGCGGCCUCUCGAGAGCCCAGGAGCGUCACUGCCCACCUCGGUCUGGGCCGACAGGUCGAAGCAGUGGGCGGAGACCCGGCCCGGAGACUGGCAUUUCUACAGCAAGCACCGUUAAGCGCCGAUCGUGUGGGAGGAUCCUGAGAGAAAGGCCGGAGCUGGAACUCGGAGCGCUCAUCGAGCCUACUGUGUGCGCCAGCUGUGUGCCAGCUCGGUGCUGUGCACCCCGCGGGGAGAAGCCUCCAGCUUGGUCCCCAUCCGGCCUCAGGAGCUCAUGUUCUUCCGAGAGAGGGGACAGGAUGAAAAUGACUAUAGGUAAAUGACAGCAACAGGCUUUUAGCCUAGGUCUAGCUGGCUCAGAAGUACACAGUGACUGCCAGGAUAACUUCCGUACAGUGGGAUCAGAAGCUGCCCUAGAGGCUCUAAGGGACCCAGGAGAUGCCUGGCCAGGAGAUCAGGGAGAGGAGUCUUGCUAUGUUGCCCAGGCUGACCUCAAACUCAAGAUCCUCCAGCCUCAGCCUCCCGGUAGUUGGGAUUACAGGCACACACCACCACCUCUGCUUCUUUUAUUUUUAAGAAACUUUUACUGUUACUAGGCCCUGGCAACCACGGAUCUGCUUUCUGCCUCUGUGGAUUUGCUUGCAGUGGACAUUUCCUGUAUGGAAUCAGGGAUAUACCUAAGAGUCAAGUUACCGAGUCAAAUGUCUGCUGUUCGAGAAUCAGCAUGCCAGUUAAUCUUUAUCGUCAGCUUCACUGGAUUAAGAGACUCUCGGAGAGGCAAUUGGAUUGUGAGGGUACUGACCUCAUCAGUGGGUUAAACCAUUGAUGAGUUUGUAGCUGAAUGGAUAUUAGGAAGUGGGGCCCGCUUGCAGGAAGUGGGUCAUGGGCGAGUGACCUUGGGGACUAUACCUGACUCCCUAGGCCUUUCCUUACUGGGGUUCCUUCCCUGCUCUCUGCUUCCUGCAUACCUCGAGCUGAGUUACCUUGCUUUUCCAUGCAUUUCCAUCAUGAUGUUUCUGCCUUGGAGCCAGAUAGAUGACCAUGGACUGAAACCUCUGAAACUGUGAGCCCAAAUAAACUUCUUUAAGCUGCAGGUGCCAGGCAUUUGGUUCCAGCAGUGGAAAGCUGACCAAUACAACCAUCAAACUAUUUUCUACAGCAGCUGCACCAUUUUACAUUCCCACCAACAAUGUAUGAUUGUUCUAGUUGCUCCACCUCCUCAGCAACAUUUGUUAUUUCCCAUUUUGGGGUUACAGCCAUCCUAAGAGAUGUGACCUGGUAUCUCAUUGUGUUUUUUUUUUGGCACUGGGGAUCGAACUCGGGUCCUUGUGCUUGCACAGCAGGCAGUAAAACCACUGAGCUAAAUCUCCGGCAAUUUCAUUGUGUUUUUGACUUACAUUUCCAUAGUGGUUAAUGAUGGAGAGUAUGUUUUUUAUGUGGUAAUUGCCAUUAACAUAUCUUUUUCAUAUCCUUUUUUAGAAAUAUCUAUUUAACCAUUGAGUUUUUUUCUUUUUACUGUUGAACUGUAAGAGUUCUUUAUAUAUUUAUGGACAUGAAUUCCUCAUCAGAUUUGAAAAUGUUUCCUCUCAUCUUGGUUGUUUUUUAACUUUCUUGUUAAUGUCCUUUGACUAACAGUUUUUUGGUUUUUUUUUUACUUUUGAUGAAAUUCAAUUUAGCUAUUUUUUUUUGUUUAGUUGUCUGUGUUUUAAGUGUCCUGUCAUCUUACUUUUUAAACAGCUGCAUCAUAUUCCACUGUGUGGCCAGACCAUAAUUUACUGGGCCGGGUGCCUGUGGAUGGACACUUAAGUAGCUUCCUCCCCGCUUCCUUUUUGUAGC